UACGUAGGGUGCGAGCGUUGUCCGGAAUUAUUGGGCGUAAAGAGCUUGUAGGCGGUUUGUCGCGUCUGCUGUGAAAAUCCGGGGGCUCAACCCCGGACUUGCAGUGGGUACGGGGCAGACUAGAGUGUGGUAGGGGAGGACUGGAAUUCCUGGUGUAGCGGUGAAAUGCGCAGAUAUCAGGAGGAACACCGAUGGCGAAGGCAGGUCUCUGGGCCACUACUGACGCUGAGAAGCGAAAGCAUGGGGAGGCGAACAGGAUUAGAUA
rnacentral:rRNA from 1 species